rnacentral:rRNA from 1 species
UACGUAGGGUGCGAGCGUUAAUCGGAAUUACUGGGCGUAAAGCGUGCGCAGGCGGUGAUGUAAGACAGAUGUGAAAUCCCCGGGCUCAACCUGGGAACUGCAUUUGUGACUGCAUCGCUGGAGUGCGGCAGAGGGGGGAUGGAAUUCCGCGUGUAGCAGUGAAAUGCGUAGAGAUGUGGAGGAAUACCGAUGGCGAAGGCAGCCCCCUGGGCCAACACUGACGCUCAUGCACGAAAGCGUGGGGAGCAAACAGG